UACGUAGGGGGCAAGCGUUGUCCGGAUUUAUUGGGCGUAAAGAGCGUGUAGGCGGCCCGACAGGUCCGUUGUGAAAACUCGAGGCUCAACCUCGAGACGUCGAUGGAAACCGUCGGGCUAGAGUCCGGAAGAGGAGAGUGGAAUUCCUGGUGUAGCGGUGAAAUGCGCAGAUAUCGGGAAGAACACCCGUGGCGAAGGCGGUUCUCUGGGACGGUACUGACGCUGAGACGCGAAAGCGUGGGGAGCGAACAGG
rnacentral:rRNA from 1 species